UACGUAGGGGGCAAGCGUUAUCCAGAUUUACUGGGCGUAAAGCGCGUGUAGGCGGCUGGUUAGGCGUGAUGUGAAAUCUUCCGGCUCAACCGGAAAACUGCAUUGCGAACCGGCCUGGCUAGAGUGCAGGAGAGGGAAGCGGAAUUCUCGGUGUAGCGGUGAAAUGCGUAGAUAUCGAGAGGAACACCUGCGGCGAAGGCGGGUUGCUGGGCCGACACUGACGCUGAUGCGCGAAAGCCAGGGGAGCGAACGGG
rnacentral:rRNA from 1 species